UACCGCAUAACGCGUAGAGGUCGCAUGGCCUUUACGACCAAAGUAUUUAUCGCUGAAAGAUGGCCUCGCGUCUGAUUAGCUAGUUGGUGAGGUAACGGCCCACCAAGGCGACGAUCAGUAGCCGGACUGAGAGGUUGAACGGCCACAUUGGGACUGAGAUACGGCCCAGACUCCGUACGGGAGGCAGCAGGUGGGGAAUAUUGCACAAUGGGGGAAACCCUGAUGCAGCGACGCCGCGUGAAGGAUGAAGGUCUUCGGAUCGUAAACUUUUGUCUUCAGGGACGAUAAUGACGGUACCUGAGGAGGAAGCCACGGCUAACUACGUG
rnacentral:rRNA from 1 species